rnacentral:miRNA from 1 species
CAAGCCAGGCUCUUUAUUUCCACUUCCCUCCCAAACGAGCGUGUUUGGGAGGGAAGCGGAAGUAGAGAGCCUGGCUUG